AGCGGCGAACUGGUGAGUAACACGUAGGUAAUCUGCCGUGAAGUGGGGGAUAACCCAGGGAAACAUGGAUAAUACCGCAUAUACUCUUUACAUAAGUAGAGUAGAGGAAAGUUUUUUCGCUUCACGAUGAGCCUGCGGCCUAUUAGCCUGUUGGUAGGGUAAUGGCCUACCAAAGCUACGAUAGGUAGCCGACCUGAGAGGGUGACCGGCCACAUUGGGACUGAGAUACGGCCCAGACUCCUACGGGAGGCAGCAGCUGAGAAU
rnacentral:rRNA from 1 species